GAAAUGCGAUAAGUAAUGUGAAUUGCAGAAUUCCGUGAAUCAUCGAAUCUUUGAACGCACAUUGCGCCCUCUGGUAUUCCGGGGGCAUGCCUGUCCGAGCGUCAUUGCGAACCCCUCAAGCACGGCUUGUGUGAUGGGCCCUCCCGCGUCUUGGUCGUCAAGACGGGCCCGAAAUGCAGUGGCGGCUUCGCGGUUAUCCGAUCAGCCAGAGCGUAUGGGGACUUUCUCUCUGUCACACGCCCGCGGCGCGGACCGACGCCUGUCGACCUUUAUUCAUCUUUUUCUCGGUUGACCUCGGAUCAGGUAGGGAUACCCGCUGAACUUAAGC
rnacentral:misc_RNA from 1 species